rnacentral:rRNA from 1 species
AUGGCGGCCACCGCGAGGGGAAGCGUGGGGGAGAUCCGGGCGGCCGACGUGGAGGCGGCCGGGCUCGCCGCGGCCGACGCGGCGGCCUUCCUCGCCGCGCUCCGCUCGGCGGCCGGCGAAGACGGCGGCGACGCGGCCGCCGCGUGGGCGGCGGUCGUGGCGGCGGGGGUGCUGCGGCCGGACCACCCGCACGCGCUCCACCAGCUCGUGUACUACUCCGUCUACGCCGGCUGGGACCGCGCCGGCCGGGGCCCGCCGCCCUACUGGUUCCCGUCGCCGAUUGACUGCAAGCAAACGAAUCUUGGGAGAGUGAUGGAAGAAAAUGGACCCAAGCUGUUAGGAGCAUCCUAUAAGGAUCCAGUUUCAAGCUUUCGCCUCUUCCACAAAUUCUCUGUUCAUAAUCAGGAGGUCUACUGGAAAAUAGUGCUGAAGGAGCUCUCCAUCAAGUUUGUACGAGAACCAACAUCGAUUCUAGAUGCGUCAGAUAAAUCAAAGAAGGGAGGAACAUGGUUCCCAGGUGCAGUGCUCAACAUUGCUGAAUGUUGUCUGCUACCUUGGCCCUCCCAGAACAAGACAGAUGAUAGCACAGCUAUUGUCUGGAGGGAUGAGGGCUUUGACGAUUACCCAGUGAACCGUAUGUCGUUGAAGGAGCUUCGCACCCAAGUGAUGACUGUCGCAAAUGCCCUUGAUACCAUGUUCCAAAAGGGCGACCGGAUUGCAAUAGACAUGCCAAUGACGUGCAAUGCGGUCAUUGUUUAUUUGGCAAUCAUCCUUGGAGGCUUUGUUGUUGUGGGAAUAGCAGACAGUUUUGCACCUCAGGAGAUUGGCACUCGCAUGAGGGUCGCAAAAGCAAAGGCAAUUUUUACUCAGGAUUUCAUAAUUCGGGGAGGGAAGAAAUUUCCACUUUACAGCCGUGUCAUGGAAGGGACUUCAGCUAAAGCUAUUGUUAUUCCUGCAACUGGAGACCUUCUUGGAGUUACACCAAGGAAUGGUGAUAUGUCCUGGAAAGAUUUUCUUUCUCGUUCUGCUGGAAGGUCAUCCAUGUACUCUCCAGUUUAUCAAUCUGCAGACGCCCUAAUUAAUAUUCUGUUUUCAUCAGGAACAACUGGGGAGCCAAAAGCUAUACCAUGGACACAACUUUGUCCCAUAAGAUGUGGAGCUGAUACCUGGGGACAUUUGGAUGUUCGCCCAAAGGACAUAGGCUGCUGGCCUACAAAUCUGGGUUGGGUUAUGGGACCUAUUCAACUGUUCUCAUCCUUUCUAAAUGGUGCGACAUUGGCUUUAUAUCAUGGUUCUCCUCUUGGACGUGGCUUCUGCAAAUUUGUCCAGGAUGCCCGUGUGAGUGUAUUAGGAUCUGUGCCUAGCUUGGUGAAAUCAUGGAAGGCUGGUAAUCUUACUGAAGGGCUAGACUGGACCAAAAUCAGGGUACUUGCCACAACAGGGGAGGCUUCUGAUAUUGAUGAUAAUCUGUGGCUAUCUUCGCGUACCUGUUACAAACCCAUUGUUGAGUGCUGUGGUGGCACAGAGCUGGCAUCCUCAUACAUUCAAGGGAGUCUUCUGCAGCCACAAGCUUUUGGAGCUUUCAGUGGUGCAUCAAUGUCCACUGGGUUUGUCAUACUUGAUGAACAGGGAAAUCCAUAUCCUGAUGAUCUACCUUGUUCUGGAGAAGUGGGUCUCUUCCCUUUAUAUUUUGGUGCUACCAAUCGGCUUCUCAAUGCUGACCACGAUAAGGUUUACUUCGAUGGAAUGCCCAUUUACAGAGGACGGCAACUCCGACGACAUGGAGAUAUAAUCCAGAGGACAGUAGGUGGUUACUAUAUCGUGCAGGGCAGAGCAGACGACACUAUGAAUCUUGGAGGGAUCAAGACAAGUUCAGUGGAGAUCGAACGGGUUUGUAAUGGAGCCGAUGAGGGUCUGCUAGAAACAGCAGCUGUUGGCAUCAAACCUUCCGGCGGGGGACCAGAACAACUGGCUAUCUUGGCAGUGCUAAAAGAUAGAUCGGCACCAUAUGAUGCAAAUAUUUUGAAGGGAAAGUUCCAAAGAGCCAUCCAGAAGAACCUCAAUCCCCUUUUCAGGGUGAGCUAUGUCAAAGUCGUCCCCGAGUUCCCGAGAACUGCUUCAAACAAGCUGCUGAGAAGGGUCCUGAGGGAUCAGUUGAAGCAAGAGCUCGCGAAUCGCAGCAAGCUAUAA